AUUUGGAAACAGAUGCUAAUACCGAAUAAAACUUAGUGUCGCAUGACACAAAGUUAAAAGGCGCUUCGGCGUCACCUAGAGAUGGAUCCGCGGUGCAUUAGUUAGUUGGUGGGGUAAAGGCCUACCAAGACAAUGAUGCAUAGCCGAGUUGAGAGACUGAUCGGCCACAUUGGGACUGAGACACGGCCCAAACUCCUACGGGAGGCAGCAUG
rnacentral:rRNA from 1 species